rnacentral:tRNA from 1 species
GGUGCGGUAGUUCAGAUGGUUAGAAUACUAGCCUGUCACGCUAGGGGUCGCGAGUUCGAGCCUCGUCCGCACCG